GACGAACCGUGCGAACGUUGUUCGGAAUCACUGGGCUUAAAGGGAGCGUAGGCGGGCCACCAAGUCAGGGGUGAAAUCCCACGGCUCAACCGUGGAAGUGCCUCUGAUACUGGCGGCCUCGAGGGGUGCAGGGGCGUGCGGAACUAAGGGUGGAGCGGUGAAAUGCGUAGAUAUCCUUAGGAACACCGGUGGCGAAAGCGGCGCGCUAGACACCUACUGACGCUGAGGCUCGAAAGCCAGGGGAGCAAACGGG
rnacentral:rRNA from 1 species